AGUCUCAUCGGACCCCCGGGUGGGGGUGGGGGGUGCUGGGUCCCGGUUCUGGAUUUCCUCACGGAGUCCAGUUCUGGUUCUGGAUCCCCUCACUGGAUCCCGGUUCUGGAUCCCAGUCCUUGAUCCAGGCCCGACCCCGGAUCCCGGUGCCGGAGGAGGUCGGGGAUUCCCCAGCCCGGGAUCAGUCCUGGAUCAGUUCUGGAUCCCCUGGGACGGUUCUGGAUCCCGUGGAUCGCUUGGCGUCAUCCCAAACCUCUCCAGGCAGAUCCCAAACCUCUCCAGGCAGAUCCCAAACCUCUCUGCUGAAUCCCAAACAACUUCCAGACAGAUCCUAAAUCUUUCCAGACAGAUACUAAAUCCUUCCAGGCUGAUCCCAAACCCCUGGGGCAGAUCCCAAACCCCUCAGGGCAGAGAUGGAUCCCAAACCUCUCCAGGUGGAUCCCAAACCCCCAGGGCUGAUCCCAAACCUUUCAGGUGGAUCCCAAACCCCUGAGAUGGAUCCUAAGUCUUUCCAGGCCAAUCCCAAACCCCUGGGUCGGACCCCAAACCCCUCCAGAUGGACCCCAAACCCCUGAGAUGGAUCCAAAACCUCUCCAGGGUGAUCCCAAACCCCUCAGACUGAUCUGAAACCUCUCCAGGGUGAUCCCAAACCUCUCCAGGGCUGAUCCCAAACUUCUCCAGGUAGACCCCAAACCCCUGAGAUGGAUCCCAAACCCCUGCAGGUGGACUCCAAACCCGAGAUGGAUCCGAAACCUUUCCAGAUGGACCCCAAACCCCUCCAGGUGGAUCCCAAACCUCUCCAGGGCUGAUCCCAAACUUCUCCAGGUGGACCCCAAACCCCUGAG
rnacentral:lncRNA from 1 species